rnacentral:rRNA from 4 species
AAAUUGAAGAGUUUGAUCAUGGCUCAGAUUGAACGCUGGCGGCAGGCCUAACACAUGCAAGUCGAACGGUAACAGGAAGCAGCUUGCUGCUUUGCUGACGAGUGGCGGACGGGUGAGUAAUGUCUGGGAAACUGCCUGAUGGAGGGGGAUAACUACUGGAAACGGUGGCUAAUACCGCAUAACGUCGCAAGACCAAAGAGGGGGACCUUCGGGCCUCUUGCCAUCAGAUGUGCCCAGAUGGGAUUAGCUAGUUGGUGAGGUAACGGCUCACCAAGGCGACGAUCCCUAGCUGGUCUGAGAGGAUGACCAGCCACACUGGAACUGAGACACGGUCCAGACUCCUACGGGAGGCAGCAGUGGGGAAUAUUGCACAAUGGGCGCAAGCCUGAUGCAGCCAUGCCGCGUGUAUGAAGAAGGCCUUCGGGUUGUAAAGUACUUUCAGCGGGGAGGAAGGUGUUGUGGUUAAUAACCGCAGCAAUUGACGUUACCCGCAGAAGAAGCACCGGCUAACUCCGUGCCAGCAGCCGCGGUAAUACGGAGGGUGCAAGCGUUAAUCGGAAUUACUGGGCGUAAAGCGCACGCAGGCGGUCUGUCAAGUCGGAUGUGAAAUCCCCGGGCUCAACCUGGGAACUGCAUUCGAAACUGGCAGGCUUGAGUCUUGUAGAGGGGGGUAGAAUUCCAGGUGUAGCGGUGAAAUGCGUAGAGAUCUGGAGGAAUACCGGUGGCGAAGGCGGCCCCCUGGACAAAGACUGACGCUCAGGUGCGAAAGCGUGGGGAGCAAACAGGAUUAGAUACCCUGGUAGUCCACGCCGUAAACGAUGUCUACUUGGAGGUUGUGCCCUUGAGGCGUGGCUUCCGGAGCUAACGCGUUAAGUAGACCGCCUGGGGAGUACGGCCGCAAGGUUAAAACUCAAAUGAAUUGACGGGGGCCCGCACAAGCGGUGGAGCAUGUGGUUUAAUUCGAUGCAACGCGAAGAACCUUACCUGGUCUUGACAUCCACAGAAGAAUCCAGAGAUGGAUUUGUGCCUUCGGGAACUGUGAGACAGGUGCUGCAUGGCUGUCGUCAGCUCGUGUUGUGAAAUGUUGGGUUAAGUCCCGCAACGAGCGCAACCCUUAUCCUUUGUUGCCAGCGAUUAGGUCGGGAACUCAAAGGAGACUGCCAGUGAUAAACUGGAGGAAGGUGGGGAUGACGUCAAGUCAUCAUGGCCCUUACGACCAGGGCUACACACGUGCUACAAUGGCGCAUACAAAGAGAAGCGACCUCGCGAGAGCAAGCGGACCUCAUAAAGUGCGUCGUAGUCCGGAUUGGAGUCUGCAACUCGACUCCAUGAAGUCGGAAUCGCUAGUAAUCGUGGAUCAGAAUGCCACGGUGAAUACGUUCCCGGGCCUUGUACACACCGCCCGUCACACCAUGGGAGUGGGUUGCAAAAGAAGUAGGUAGCUUAACCUUCGGGAGGGCGCUUACCACUUUGUGAUUCAUGACUGGGGUGAAGUCGUAACAAGGUAACCGUAGGGGAACCUGCGGUUGGAUCACCUCCUUACCUUAAAGAA